ACCUCCCAGAUGAGCAGGAAAGUUGAAACCCUCACGCUUCCUCAAGGAUUCACCACUGUCGCUGCCGCCUCAGAGGCUGACGCUACCAUAGAGAGUCGGGGAAAGAACUACGGAAGUUGCGCGAGGAAUGCUGGGAUACUGGAGGUCGGCCCAGCGCUUCCUGCGGGUUUAGCGCGUUUUCCGAGUUACAGAGAAAACCCUGUGAGGAAUCAUUUUUCCAGAUGAAUAAUUUGAGACACAGAACUAUCAAGGAACUUGCCAAAGGCUACAGAUCUG
rnacentral:lncRNA from 13 species